CGUGUAGGCGGUCGGUCAAGUCCGAUGUGAAAGCCCGGGGCUCACCCCCGGAAGUGCAUCGGAAACUAGCCGGCUGGAGCGCGAUAGAGGAAGGUGGAAUUCCUGGUGUAGCGGUGAAAUGCGUAGAUAUCAGGAGGAACACCGGCGGCGAAGGCGGCCCUCUGGAUCGUUGCUGACGCUGAGACGCGAAAGCGUGGGGAGCAAACAGGAUUAGAUACCCUGGUAGUCCACGCUGUAAACGAUGGGUACUAGGUGUUCGGGGUAUUGACCCCCUGAGUGCCGCAGCUAACGCAUUAAGUACCCCGCCUGGGGACUACGGCCGCAAGGUUAAA
rnacentral:rRNA from 1 species